GAAACGACUGCUAAGACUGGAUAGGAAAUAGAAGGAUAACCUUUUAUUUUUAAAAGACCUUCUUCGGAAGGUAUGCUUAAAGAAGGGCUUGCGCCACAUUAGUUAGUUGGUAGGGUAAAAGCCUACCAAGACUAUGAUGUGUAGCUGGACUGAGAGGUUGAACAGCCACAUUGGGACUGAGACACGGCCCAAACUCCUACGGGAGGCAGCAGUAGGGAAUUUUCGGCAAUGGAGGAAACUCUGACCGAGCAACGCCGCGUGAACGAAGGAGUAUUUAGGUAUGUAAAGUUCUUUUAUUGAAGAAGAAAAAAUAGUGGAAAAACUAUCUUGACGCUAUUCAAUGAAUAAGCCCCGGCUAACUAUGUGCCAGCAGCCGCGGUAAGACAUAGGGGGCGAGCGUUAUCCGGAAUUAUUGGGCGUAAAGGGUGCGUAGGCGGUUAGAUAAGUCUAUAAUUUAAUUUCAGUGCUUAACGCUGUUCUGUUAUAGAAACUGUCUAGCUAGAGUGAGAUAGAGGCAAGUGGAAUUCCAUGUGUAGCGGUAAAAUGUGUAAAUAUAUGGAGGAACACCAGAAGCGUAGGCGGCUUGCUGGGUCUUUACUGACGCUGAGGCACGAAAGCGUGGGUAGCAAACAGGAUUAGAUACCCUGGUAGUCCACGCCGUAAACGAUGAGUACUAAGUGUCGGGGUUAAACUCGGUACUGAAGUUAACACAUUAAGUACUCCGCCUGAGUAGUACGUACGCAAGUAUGAAACUUAAAGGAAUUGACGGGACUCCGCACAAGCGGUGGAUCAUGUUGUUUAAUUCGAAGAUACACGAAAAACCUUACCAGGUCUUGACAUACUCUGCAAAGCUAUAGAAAUAUAGUGGAGGUUAUCAGGGAUACAGGUGGUGCAUGGUUGUCGUCAGCUCGUGUCGUGAGAUGUUAGGUUAGGUCCUAAAACGAGCGCAACCCUUGUCGUUAAUUGCCAGCACGUUAUGGUGGGGACUUUAGCGAGACUGCCAAUUAAAAAUUGGAGGAAGGUGAGGAUUACGUCAAAUCAUCAUGCCCCUUAUGAUCUGGGCUACAAACGUGAUACAAUGGCUGUUACAAAGAGUAGCUGAAAUGCGAGUUUUUAGCCAAUCUCAAAAAAGCAGUCUCAGUUCAGAUUGAAGUCUGCAACUCGACUUCAUGAAGUUGGAAUCGCUAGUAAUCGCGAAUCAGCAUGUCGCGGUGAAUACGUUCGCGGGGUUUGUACACACCGCCCGUCA
rnacentral:rRNA from 1 species